rnacentral:lncRNA from 1 species
UUGACUAAUUCCCAAGAGAUUGUGUUUUAAACUAUCAACUAGUAACACAUUUUCAAUAAGAAAGGAUGUGUUAUUACCAAUAUUUCCUUGCCCAAUGAUCCUCCCUUUGGCAUUAUCUCCAAAAGUCAUAUAUCCUUAUUUCUUCCUUGUGAAGAAUGCAAACUGGGAUUCAUCUCUAGUUAUGUGUCUUGAGAAUCCACUAUCCAAAAUCACUUGUCCUUCCUUAAGCCCUACUAUACAACUCAACUAGAUUUAGGUACCCAUAUCUUUUUGGGUCCUUAAGGGUUAGUAACCUUAAACUUUUCAACCCAAAUCUUCUUGGUUUUUGAAUGUGAAAUCUUUUAAGAACCAUUUCUAAGUGGACAAAGUAUAACUAAUGUUUCAUCUUCUUCCACAAAAGUUGCAAGUGGUGGAAGAGUUUUCAUUUAUGGAUUCUUUUACAAAAUAAUUUUGGAAAUAUUUUUUGUUCUUUAAAGAUUUAAACCCUAGGCCUUUCUUGUCAAAUAUGCAUUUUUUGCUAGCUAGUAUCUGAUUACUACUCAAAAAAUGCUAUUUUAUAGCUUGUAAUUAACUCUUUUAAACACUUUUCAGUAGUAGUUAUUACCUUUUAACUCAAUUGGCAUGCUAAGG